UUGGUGUAUGACAUUCCGGCAUUGCCUG
rnacentral:sRNA from 1 species